rnacentral:rRNA from 1 species
AUGGGUGUUGGCUCCAACAAUUCACAUUGGUCUCAAACCAAUGACAUGCAUUUCGAUGACCAUGAGUUCGAGGUGGACAAGGAUGGUGAGGGCAUUGUCGACACACCGAAAGGAAGAGGAAGCAACUACACUAAUGAAGAAGACGUCUUGCUAUGCAAUACUUGGUUGCAAGUGUCGAGGGAUCCAUCCGUUGGAGGUGAUCAAAGUAGAGAUGCUUAUUGGAACCGGAUGAAGGAGCACUUUGAUCUACACAGCAAGAGUGGAAUUGACCGCUCCGCCCAAUCUCUUCGCUCCCGGUGGUCGACAAUGAACAAAGAUUGUCAAAAGUGGGCGGGCGCACAAAAGGCGGUUGACAAGUUGAACCCAAGUGGCACUAAUGAUGAAGAUAGGGUAAGUGCCAUUUCAUCCAUGUUCAUCAUGCUUGUCGUUGGUGUUUGUAGUGCUAACUUGUUUUGUUUUUAUAUAGUUCAAUAUUGCACAAAACUUGUUCAAAGGAGAGGAGAAGAAGAGCAAGAAAGGGAAGAUCAAGAAAGGAAGACCAUUUACCUUGCCUCAUUGCUAUGA